CUUGGGGCAUACCCAUGUCCAGACUAAUAAAAAAGUAAUGGGGCUAGACGUAGGUAAUAUGGUGGGGUGAUUACACAGAUCAAAUUAAAGAUUUCUGCCACUAGAAAAGAGAUAGAAAUCACAGUAUGAAAAUGCCACAGAGUAGCAGUAAUAGAAGUCCUGAUAGUUGCUACUAAUAGAUACACAGUAGCAAUAUCUAAUGUGAUGCAACUAAAUACAGUGUAAAAAUACCAACUUCUAUCUACCCACAAUCUAAUAGAUAUUGUAUAUAAAGAUGGCAUCCCACCACUAGUCCCUUGCACAGUAACAGCCCCCAAACGAACAGAUAAACC